GCAUCAAUGGCGGGCUAAGAUCAAACGAUACUCACUCAAGACACCCUGUGUACGAUUCGGAACCUGGCUGCCUCUUAGCUGGGCCACCUUGGACAAAUCUCUUAACUUCUAAAGUACCAUCUGAUGCUUUCCUGCCUUUGCUCCUGAAUGAAGCUAAUGACGUAUUCAAAUAUUCAAUGAGCCUUCUCUGGAUACCCACUCUCUGCUGGGCUUGCUAUACACGAAACCGGAAGGCAGACUUUCCCAUUCCAGAUUUUCUGCGUAUCAGCUCAUCACCUGGGAUACGUCUCAACUGCUUGAAACCUCAGUUUCCCUAAAGAAAAACUAAGGAUGAUAAUAUAGCCAAAGGAAGGCUCAACAAGCUAAUGAAGGUGAAAGCCAUUUAAAGUGUAGAAACUGUGCCCUAUCGGUGCUGCUGUUAAACAGUUUACUAGCAGUUCGUAUUAAUAUAACUAGUAGUUACAUUAACUACUAUAAGCCCAUAUUCAAUUAUUAUUCUUAUUCCUUGCCCCUUAGCUACUACUAAUAUGCUAAUCGUGAUAAUUAACCAAUGCUAUACUUGAUGCAUUUCAGCACCAGAUUUUGCUCUGCUAAACUUGGGGUUUUGCUUGGAGGGGAGAAUAGCAGUGCUGGCCUUCGGGCCGUGCCAGGAAAAUGUGUGGGCCAGAUGGCAAUCCAAGUUGGUCUGAUAGAACAUUUCUAUUUCUGUGGAUUCUCAAAAAUGAACUGACAGGCACGAACCAAAGUGGUGACUCAUAGCCUUCAGGCCCCUGACUUACAGCUUCUGAGCCGAGAUUUCCUAUUGUCCUGCAAAACCUAUUUACGGAAUGCUACAACUGGACCCUUCUGUCCCCGUCGUCAUCAAUGUUGUCGUCACCAUCACAGCCGCCCUUCACCGAGCACCUACUGUGUGCCUGGGCCCGUGGGGCGGUCUAUCAAAAUGGACCCCCUUCGGCUCUGUAACUACCCCACGGUGCCUAUGUCUGAACGGCCCGUCUUCAGAUGCAGAGAUUGUCGGUCAAGGAGACUGAGCAACUUGUCCCCCGUCACAGAGACCCCGAAGGGUGGUGUUGAGAUGGGAGUCCCGAACUUCUACAUUUUUCUUCCUGUAUGAUAUUGUGUCUCCAAUUGUAAUCCUCCUGUGGGCAGUCGCUAGAGUAUGUCCGUGUGUACGCAUACACGUAAGCAUAUGUUUUAAUUCCACUCCCCAGAGGAAAUACAGUACUCCGGCCUGGUACAGAACAUUCAUUAGAAACGUGCUCGCUGGCUUGAAUUUCCAGAAAGUCCAAAAUUUGGUCCACAGUCAUGCUGUUUUGCCCUUGUAAGUUGAUCGAAUAUCAAUACCGGACCCAGAUUCUCAGUAAAUAACUACAGAGAUGGGGGCUUGAACAGAAAUGUCGCUGGCAGAUUAGGCCUAGAAUCUAGACGUUCUUCUGGCUCUCGGGCCAACACUCGACACGCGACACCUUAGGAAUGGAGAAACCUAUUUGUUCUUAGUCACUGCUCCUCUUUAAUCUGCUGUUGCUGAUGAAAAACAAACCCUUAAGGAAGGGAAGGAAUAUCUAUAUCUCUCCACUAGAGACGUCUUCAUCAUCAUUAUCGAGAACAUGUGGGCAAUGGCAGGAUCCUGAGUUUCUCAAGUGGUGUUUGUGUAGGAGACCGCACUGCACUGCGGAUCAGUUGCACAGCUGGAGUCCAUGUGGACCCGAGGGCUUUGUAGGGUCUCCGAGAGACAUCCCCCAAGGCCGUCAGACUAGAUGGCGGUGUGGACACCCAACACAGCCAUUUGGGCAAGAAGAUAGUAAAAUACUAUUUUGGAUCCCAUUUUUGAAGGGAUUGACUUCUUAAGGCACGCACUAGGUUUUCGUUACCAAAUGAACAGUCCCAUUAAAAAAUAUUAUCAAAUUAAUAGCAUAACAAGUUUUUAGGGGAGGUUUAUUAGAGUCAAAUAUUUUUAAAAGCUGUCAUUGAAACAGACAUAGUUGUUAAAUUGAGGAGAUAAUUAGGUACCUGAAAUUAA